GGCAGCCUGAGCCAAAGAGACUGACAAGGGAGUGAGGGAACCUGUUUUGGUGUAAUGUGGCCCAUGGUCAGAGAAUAGAAUCUCCUGAAUUGGAAGGUUUAAGUCAACAGCAUCCUUGAUGGUGUCUUUCAGAUCUCGAAAGCAAAGCAUCGGACUCCCUCGAGCCACAAUAUGGACAAUGUUUCUGAGGACCAGCUGCCCCGAGCUAAACUUUUCCAGCCAUUGAAGAUCAUGAGCAAUUUAUCCCAUGCCACUCCUGCCGCCACAAAGGUCAAAUUCCCCACCAGUCACCAUACAGAAGAGAAUCCAUUACAGGUGCUGGAAAUAAGCAACACUCCCCCAAGCACCGUUCAGCAGAGCAAUGCAGGUCAGACCAGAGGCCAGGUCCUACAAAAGCGGGUCAAAGGGCCCAUAGAUGGUGCCAGCAACCAGCCGAAGAACCAACCGAUCACAAGCUUCAAGAACCUGCCGAGGUCAAAAUAAAAUCACCAGGGAGAGCAAGAUUCCAUCUGUUCUCGAGGGACCAGGACUACAGGAGUACUAAAAAGUAGGGAGGCUUUUUCUUAAGACGCAUUUUAAGCAGUAUGCUCUGAGGCUGGGAAGUGGAAGGGGAGGUGUGCACACUGCAUUGGUGCUUCCUCCACAGCCUCUCUACAGGUUUUUUUUUCUUUUUCUUUUUCUUUUUUUUUGCACUGUGCUCCAGCUGUUAGUUUCCUUUAAGAUGAACUGUGGGUUCUUUUGUUAAUAACAUGCAAAAGAAAAGGAAACUCCAUUUGUCCAUCAGCACUCUUAGUCCAGGAGACAGCAGUAUGGAGUCCACCAUGUGGGAUUCUGCAUGCAGCACAUCCUCUCUUUUCUGUGGAAAGCUCCCACACAUGUGGGGGGGUGUGGGAGGCUAUUUAAUUAUUAAAAGAAAUUGCACACUCUUUUGAAGUAGCCCCUGCCCCCUUCUCAGAGGUUUAUACACAUUGUCUUGGAGCUGGAAAAGGUGAAGCCUAUCUGGAAUGCUGCUCAGCUGAGCGGAUGUUUGGCAGUGGGAGCAGCCAGCGGCAUUCUAAGCGCUUGGCCACGUGCAGAGCAUUUCACAUCUGAUAGGAGUGUGAAAAAGAGGUUUGGUGGCUGGCAGAGACUUUGUUAUGAGCUGGGUUGGAGGUGAACAAAGGCAAUGUAUCAGAGGGUAGCCGUGUUAGUCUGGAUCUGUAAAAGCAGCAAAGAAUCCUGUGGCACCUUAUAGACUAACAGACGUUUUGGAGCAUGAGCUUUCGUGGGUGAAUACCCACUUCCUCAGAUGCAUGUAAAGGCAAUGUGUUUUUCUUCUUAAAAACCAAACCCCUCUUUCCAGCAGUUCUCCCUCUGGUUUCUUGGAGGGACAUGCAUUUUGUAAAUCAAUACUAGACUUACCAUUUUCCUUUCUUGGCCCUGUUAUUUUCUUCACGUUGCAAAUAAAGUGGCACAGGGUGGCCA
rnacentral:lncRNA from 1 species